ACAAUUCAAAGAUCAUGUAAACUGAUUGUAAAUUCAAAUCAUCUUAUUCAUUAGGGCUUCUUAUACUCGCUGAAACAGUAUGGUAAUGGAGCUUAAACAUAGUGACUUAAUAAUAAAUAUCAUAUUAAAGCUUUAACUUCAUACUGAAAAAGGAAUGCCGUGAGCACCGGGAAAUCCAGUCAAUGUCAAGUCAAUUGAAACGUUAUCGAUU